rnacentral:lncRNA from 10 species
CAUUCAAGCCACAGUGUCUUCUAUCUCCAAGCUGGUGAGACACACUGCAGUCCUCUACAGAACAGAAGAGAGACAGUGCACAAGAUUGCUCUUGGGAGCUUGAUGAUGAUUGACAAGGUGUACUCUGGUCCUUGCCUGCCUCUGCAGGCUUCUCUCUUCUCGAACGCACUCUAGUCUAAGCUCCAGACACAAAUUGUCGUUGCCCUGAGUGGACCAUGUUCCCUCUCACCUCCCCACGUUUGCAGAAGCUUUCUUCAAAUCCCCAGAGCUGCCUUUUCUGUGACUAGUCCCCAUUUGUCCUUUAUUCACAGUUUAACCUCUCAAAAACCUGCCUGGAAACCCACCCCCAGAAGGGCUAAUGGACCCUCACUAGGUCUUCCUAUACCAUCAUCCGCUUCCCCAGUUAAAAUUGUACUUAGCGUAUUUGUGAAAUGAAUAACUGGAUGACUUUCUCCAUGCUGGGCAUUGUGCUAAAUGUUUCAAGUACAUAAGGCAUUCAAAUCUAGAAGAGCCCCGUGUUUGGUCCUAUUAUUAUCCCCAUUUUACAGACAAUGAAAUUGAGGUUUCAAGAGGGUAAGUCAUUCCCAUGCUGUCCAGUUAAUCUAUUUUGAAUGGAUGUGGAUAUUCAGGAGAAUCUGAUGAGAUGGGCUGAUCUGAUUCUCUCUCGGAUGCCCUAUGAUUUGGCACUACUUGGGGGCUCAGGGGCCUGAUGGAGCUGUGAUCACAACCUGGCUCUUCACUAAUUAGCUGGUGUCAAUGACCAGCACACUUUAGCCCUGAGUCCGUUUCCUCUUUGGCAAAUUGGCAAAAUAAUGACUACCUUCCCAACUGUUAUGAGGACAAAAAAAUGAGAAGCUGUUGAGAAAGCACGUAGCACCACAUCCAGCAUUUAAAAAACAAAUUUUUUAAAGUAAAAGAUGAGGAGUUUCCCUUUCCUUAAAGGAAGUAAUCUGUCUCUGCUACCUUGUGCCACAGUUAAACUGCACAGGCUCAAUAACUUAUGUUUUGGUUAAACGUUUUUAAUUUUUUUAGAGUGAAAUCCGAGUUUUUGUUGGCAAGUGAUUGAACACGCUGGGCCCAGCCUGCAGGCCCACAGUCCAUUAGGAAAUUUACGAGGCGAGAUGGGGACCUUCAGCUCAAGUACUCCCUUCAGACGCAGUACUUACAAAGCCAUCAAUUUCCUUAACAAAGAGCAUUGGCUUAAAUGCCCCUUAAAGCAGUGUUAUUUACACAGCUAUCCACUUCCUUUUGAAUUCUCUGCCUGGGGGGUGGCAGACCUGCAGUUCUUUCCAGCUACGAGUUAAUUAGGCUCUCUCCCCAAAUGGAAGCAAGCCGCAGACUGAGAUUUGGUAUUAAAAAGCAGCUCAAUUUGGGGCCAUCCGAGAGUCUUAUGGGGUGAUCCAAAUACCACCAAAAUCACUGGUUCCACCCACCCAUUCUUCUAAAAUUCUAAAGCCUUUGGACCUUACCAAAGAGUAAUGACCUCUGUCAGUAUAGAGAUAGAGAAGGAAAGGCAGCAUUUGAGCCCGUCUCUACUUAGUGAAAGAAGCCUCAAAAAAGUACUGCUGGCUAAGAUAGCAUACUUUCUACCUCUUGGUGUAUCGAUAUAGUAACAUUAACAUUUUAAAGAAGCCCCCACCCCUUUUGUGGGGGAACUAGGAUUUGGAUACAAGCAGCCCAGUUCAGGGGUCUGAGCAUGAAACCACCACCCCAAGCCACCUGACCCAAGAUAACCUGCCCGAGAUGACAGCUAAGGGGGAAAGUCUCCUAUUCAAACAGGAUUGUCUGACUCUAAAGACCAGCAAAGCUCAACUACACUUUCUUGCCUGAAAAAUAAAACUGUCUCUUAAGAAA